rnacentral:rRNA from 1 species
AUUUUGGACAAUGGGGGAAACCCUGAUCCAGCCAUCCCGCGUGUAUGAUGAAGGCCUUNGGGUUGNANAGUACUUUUGGCAGAGANGAAAAGGUAUCUCCUAAUACGAGAUACUGCUGACGGUAUCUGCAGAAUAAGCACCGGCUACCGACUUGCAAUCAGCCGCGGUAAUUCGUAGGGUGCAAGCGUAAAUCGGAAUUACUGGGCGUAAAGAUUGUGUAGGCGGUUCGGAAAGAAAGAUGUGAAAUCCCAGGGCUCAACCUUGGAACUGCAUUUUUAACUGCCGAGCUAGAGUAUGUCAGAGGGGGGUAGAAUUCCACGUGUAGCAGUGAAAUGCGUAGAUAUGUGGAGGAAUACCGAUGGCGAAGGCAGCCCCCUGGGAUAAUACUGACGCUCAGACACGAAAGCGUGGGGAGCAAACA